rnacentral:rRNA from 1 species
UUCCCCUACUCCUACGGGAGGCAGCAGUAGGGAAUCUUCCGCAAUGGACGAAAGUCUGACGGAGCAACGCCGCGUGAGUGAUGAAGGCUUUCGGGUCGUAAAACUCUGUUGUUAGGGAAGAACAAGUGCUAGUUGAAUAAGCUGGCACCUUGACGGUACCUAACCAGAAAGCCACGGCUAACUACGUGCCAGCAGCCGCGGUAAUAAA